rnacentral:rRNA from 1 species
AACGAACGCUGGCGGCAGGCCUAACACAUGCAAGUCGAGGGAGAAGCUACUUUCGGGUAGUGGAAACCGGCGGACGGGUGAGUAACGCGUGGGGAUGUGCCUUUCGGUAAGGAAUAGCUUCGGGAAACUGGAAUUAAUACCUUAUACGCCCUUAGGGGGAAAGAUUUAUCGCCGAGAGAUCAACCCGCGUUAGAUUAGCUAGUUGGUGAGGUAAAGGCUCACCAAGGCGACGAUCUAUAGCUGGUCUGAGAGGAUGAUCAGCCACACUGGGACUGAGACACGGCCCAGACUCCUACGGGAGGCAGCAGUGGGGAAUAUUGGACAAUGGGGGCAACCCUGAUCCAGCCAUGCCGCGUGAGUGAAGAAGGCCCUAGGGUUGUAAAGCUCUUUCAACGGUGAAGAUGAUGACGGUAACCGUAGAAGAAGCACCGGCUAACUUCG